rnacentral:lncRNA from 12 species
GGGAGGGACAACCUGCUGUGCACGUCCCAUGGGACACACCUGGGGAUGGGGGACAACCUGCUGUGCACGCCCCGCGGCUGCCUGGAGCAGGUGAGGCACACCUGGGACAGGUGAGACACACCUGGGACACACCUGGGACACACCUGGGGAUGGGGGACAACCUGCUGUGCACGCCCCGGGGCUGCCUGGAGCAGGCCACCUGGGCGCGGCUCCGUGCCGAGUUCCCGGCGCUCUCACCUGCGCAGCUGCACCACGUCCUGCGCCAUUACCGGCUGGGGCGGGGCCGGGCCGCCCCACCCGCCUGGAGCCCCUCACCUGAGGAGACCGGGCCGCCCCACCUGCCUGGAGCCCCUCACCUGAGGAGAGCGGCGAGGCGAACACAGGUGAGACACACCUGGGCACACCUGGGAUAGCUAGGACACACCUGGGGCGUACCUGGGGUACUUGUGUUAUCUGCGUGUCACACCUGGGACACGCCUGCCUCACCUGUCCCCCCAGGUGACGUUUUCGAGAGUUUUUUGGAGCAUCCCCCACUGCUGCUGCCCACCUGUGUCACACCUGUGUCACCUGUGUAUCCCAUCACCUGUGU